rnacentral:lncRNA from 1 species
UAGAAAGAAUAAAAAACAUUUAUUAACAUCUUAACAACUCCUCAAAAAUGACCCCCACAAUUGCUCUUUAUAAAACAUUGUAAAACUAUCAAGCUGCUAUUUCCAGCUUCUUACCUCCAUCCCUGAUGUGGGUUAAGAAAUGUUCAAAACUAUCAAUGCUUUGAAAUAAAACUGCGGUAAGUCUUCCAAACAACAUUAUUCUGUUUUAGUUACAAGAACCUGUCCAAUUCCUAACAAAAGUUAAUCUUUCCAAGAGCAUAGCUUGUAAUCAGUGAAAACUGAAGAAAGAUUUUCACAAAGGGAACUUUUCAUGCAUCUAACAACAUACUGAAGGAGCACAGCCUCGUCUAGACCUACCUACUGAGCAUAGCACAGGAAAGUUUUCUGCACAUUUUUCUGUCUCUCUCUGUGAACAGGUAAACGUACAUUUUAUCUCCUACAUGAAAAACUAAACAUAUCACAUCUCCUGAGUGGCAGGGUCUGCAAAACUGCAUUGUCUCUGUUGUAUUUUAUUUUUCAGAACAUAUUUUUUCAUCUUUCUAGGCUUAUUUCCAUUCCACAUUGGAGUUUUGUCGUAUUUAUCACAUGGAAUUUCUGUCACCAAAACGGUACUGAGAAUGUUGCUUUCUGGCAUUUUGAUACACAUCAACACAACCAGAUUUGUAUGGUAUUCCAAAUGGACUCAGACAGCACAAAAAUGCAAAAUAUGGGACUUAACAGUACAGCUGUUUAAGUUGCCUGCUGUUUUAUCAUGGUGAUAGGGAGAAACACUACAUUGACACAAACACCAGAUGCACCAAUUGUAACAAAACAUUUGAGCAACAUCAUGGGGAGCUUGCUUUGCUUGUUAAUAUAGCACAUGGCUGAGACUGCAUCCUAUCAGCUGAAGAUGAUACUUGGGAGAUAGAGCCAAAACACUGCACAUAGUUUGCGCAGUUCCAAGUUAAGCUAGAAGGUCAAUGAUUAACCUCUGUCUGACAAAUAAAGCAACACUUAGAAUUUUUUUUCUGUGGAUGAUUUAAGUGAAAAUUCAAGGUGACUUAUAAUGGAGAAAAUAAAGCUGUCUCUAGAACAUCCCAAGCUUUGAAGCCGUACAGAUGACUAAGAGAAUCUGGCCCUUCUGCAUUUCUCGAACAGUAUUAGCCACAUCUGGUACCACUUACAGAAGUGUGGGAUUUAGCUGAAGUUUAGAAAGCUUCUUGACUAAUUCCAAGGGAGACUAAGCUACAAAGGAUUUUACAAAAAGUAAUUAGCAAAAAUUACUUAGUUUCUCACUGCCAGUUUAAGUUUGUCAAAACCUUCCAAAGUUGCUCUUACCACUAAUACUGGAGUGGCUGGAGGAACAUCGGCUUAGAUCCCUCCUCUGAAACCUCAUCACUUGUUAUCCAGUCAUUCAGCUAUUGAAAAACAAAAGCAGCAGAAUGCUGCUGGCUUUGACCAGGUGGAUAACCUUGCAAAUGGCAGAGCCAUCUGGUGAAUACCAUGUGGUGGAACGCAGAGUCUGCUUGAACUAGUGCCGACUAUUCAAGAAAAAUUUUGAGGUAAGGAGCUUUUAAAUAAAUGCCAUCCAAUUGUCAGUACUGAAUCUUCCAUUGUUUUUAGAAGGAAAGCAAGUGAGAUCCCUACAGAAGAAUGAUAACCUGUGAAAACGCAAGAGCAUUUUUCUGUACAGGUGGCACAGGAGGAAGGCAGUGAUCUUGGCAGUCAUCAUAUUCAAUCCUCUCUUUUCCAGUAGCAAUUCACAGACAGGAUGAGCAGUGGUAUCAAAAAGGGUCUGGACCUGACCCUGAAGCAACUGCUGACCAGAUUUAUCAGAUUAAUGGCAUGAACCUCAAGACUAGAGUGGCAACUCCCCAAACAAAAAAACCCCCAAAACACUGACACCCCAUUCAUCAAAACCCUCCACAACCAUACAGUGCUAAGAUCACAGUGGCUUUCAUGAUUCAGAGGCGCAAAGGACACUUGCAAUAAAUAAAGCUGCUGGACCUGGGAAGAGACUCAUGCUGCCCCAAAGAGGGAAAGAUUUUUCAAACAUUGUGGGCUUACGCCACCACCUUGAUUUCUCGUAUGAUGGAACAGUUGUAAAAACCCCAAGAACUUCUAUAUCCAAGAAAGCAGGAAUUUUCAGCACAAAAAGCUGUAAAGGGGAUGGAGAGCAGGACCAAAAGAGCUGUGUGGCAUGCGUAUGAAGGUUGGUACAGGAGAUGUAAACUACCACUACAGAAGUGGGGAGCUCAGACAAGUAUCAACUUUGACAGAGGUCCGACUGAUAUGCCACAAAAGUUUACUGAUAUGAAAUACUUGGUUCUUCUUACUCAGGCUGUAGAUCACUAGAUGAAGUGUGACUUAAGCAAUUAAUGCUUCAAAUCUGAUUCAGGAUUUGCAGGUGGAAAAAAGAAGAAUCCCUUAAAAACAAGCUUGAUUGAAGCCUCCAUCUCAUCAUGCAGUUGUCAGAAACUAAAAAAAAUGGGCAAAAGCACUUCCCUCUAAGAGCACAAUAAGGGAGAAAGCAAGUUUUCUUUUUCAGUGUAAGAAUGCAUAUAUACAAAUGGGAAGCCGUAUACAAGUUAUUAUCAAGACACAACUAAACCUUCAGGUAUAAGCAAUUUAUGUAGCCUCUCAGUUCUGUGAAGGAAGGUAUCCCUAAGUCAGGCAUGUCUCAAGUGAUCUUGAAGUUAGUUUAUUCUCAGUGCUUUUUACUGGGUUUUUGCAGUAAGGAAAAUAACCUCUAAGGGACACACAGAUAGGACAGUAUACUGUGAAGAACGCAAAAGGAAACACGUAUUACUUCUAUAGACCAUGAAGCAAUGUGGAAAAUGUCUCAAUCAAGAACAGUAGAUACAAUCAAUCAAUGCACUUACAUAUGCUAUCACCU